UAGAAGCCAGUGCUGGCUUCUCGGACUGUGAGGAGUGAGGGUCCUGGAAGAAAACUCGUUAUCUGUACUGUGUGCUUCUGUGUCUGUGAAGUGUUUUUUUUUUUUUUUUUUUUUUUAAAUCAGUACCACGGAUCAAACUCAUGACCACACACUUAGAUGGCAGGUGCUUAUGCUGCUGAGCUAAAUCCUCAGCCCCUGUGUUUGUGAAGUUUCAAGAAGAUUUUCUUCUAUACAGCAUUAACAUUUGGAUCCAGGAAAAGGGUUGUGUUAACAGGUUCUAUGUAAGACAGAUAUGUUCUGUGUCAUGGUUUAUGUUUGUGUCCCCCAGGCCUCAUGAGUUUGCAUUGUUCAUAUGUGAUGGUUCAUUGUAUAGUGCUUGGAUUGAUGGUGUCAGUGCUCCACCCACAUAGGGGUGGGGCCAGGAUGUGAUGUAAUGGCAGGAAGAAGGUGUGUCUUUCUCUUUUUGCUGGUUCGAGUUUAUUGUUGGCGGCCGCCAUGAACUGCAGCCCAGCCAUUCCUGCCUGUCUUGGAGCCAACUGAGUGUGGACUGAAACCUCCAAAAAGCUGUAAGAAAUAAAUCUUUCCUUUCCCAACUUGGGCUUCAGGUAUUUGGUCUCAGCGACGAGUAAAAAGUAACUAAGACAUUCAGUGUUUUGUAUAUGUGUGUGUUUUAAAUAUUACUAUUACACCAAACUGUUCUUUAAACUUCUGGACCUGGAUAUGAACUCACUUUUUCUCUCUUAUAAAACUAUAUUUUUUCCCGUUACCUCUCUAUCAAAAUGAGGGUUUGAUUUUGAAAUGUCAUGUGGCCUUUUUAGUCAACGGACCCUUUUUCCUGUUUCUUUCUUUUUCUUAUGAAAAAAGAAAAAGAAAAAGCCCGAAAUCCUCUCUGACUUCAUCCAGAUUUUAUCCAAAAGAACAGAAACCCUCCUACCAUCAAAAGUGGUUAAGAUGUUUUAAAAAGUUUUUUCUUACAUUAGCACAAGAUCAAUAUAUAUUUUUUAUUUUCUUCAUUGAGCUUGCCCUACCUGCAGUGAUUUCUUAAGCCUGGUGCAAGGAAUCAUGGAUUUACAAGAGCUUUUGGCCAAGAUGACCACAAAACUGAAUCAUGCAGAGACAAGACUUAGUCAGCUGGAAAACUGUCACUGUGAGAAGACCUGUCAAGUGAGUGGAUUGCUCUAUCGGGACCAAGAUUCUUGGGUUGAUGGUGAUCAUUGUAGAAACUGCUCAUGCAAAAGCGGUGUUGUGGAGUGCCGGCGGAUGUCCUGUCCCCCUCUCAACUGCUCCCCCGACGCCCUCCCUGUGCACAUCACUGGUCAGUGCUGUAAGGUCUGCCAAUCAAAAUGCAUCUAUGGUGGGAAAGUUCUUACAGAAGGCCAGCGGAUAUUAACCAAGAGCUGUCAGGAAUGCCGAGGUGGAGUUUUAGUAAAAAUUACAGAAACGUGUCCUCCUUUGAACUGCUCAGAGAAGGACCACAUUCUUCUGGAGAAUCAGUGCUGCAGAGUCUGUCGAGUCUCUACAUUUGCAAAAUGAGUACAAUAUCUGCUUCCUAAGAGUGCUGUGAAUUUUAAACAGGAUAAUGCAUAAGCACCUAGCCUAAUGCCCAGCAUAUGGUCAUAACUUCUGCGUGGAAGCACUUAAAUGUGGUGAAAACUCAGAGUGCAAAACCUGGAAUAUGAAAGUGACUUGUGAGUGCAAGAGUGGUUACAUCUCUGUCCAAGGAGACCCCGCCUACUGUGAAGAUAUUGAUGAAUGCACUGCUAAGAUGCAUUACUGUCAUGCCAAUACUGUAUGUGUGAACCUGCCAGGCUUAUACCGCUGUGACUGUGUCCCGGGUUACAUUCGUGUAGAUGACUUCUCUUGCACAGAGCAUGAUGAAUGUGGCAGUGGGCAGUACAACUGUGACGAGAAUGCCAUCUGCACCAACACCGUCUAGGGGCACAGUUGCACCUGCAAAUCAAGCUACGUGGGCAACGGGACCAUCUGCAGAGGUAGGUCCACCACUUGCGGGGUGAGCUGUGUGUGCUGCAGCCUGCGGGGCUCUCAGAUGCUUCUCAGAGGUGCUCUCAUGAGUGCAGUCAGGGGUCCUGUUCCUGGUCAGUCAACUGGCAAGGACACUGGGCAGGAAAGAAAGGAAAUGGUGGCUUAGGCUGAGCUACUGGAUUGUGGAUGUGUUGGGGGCACACAAUUCCUGAGGUGAUGCCUCUGUUCCACUUUGCAUCUUCGAACCUGAGUCAGUGAGGUUUAGCAUCAGUGGCUGAGGUGACACCCUUCCCUGCGAGCUUUGCUUCCCGGCACAGGAGCACUGUUCAUGUCCACAGUCCAGGUGUCUGCUUGAGUAAUAAACAAAGUGUUUAAAUUUUUAACUUAAUGAGUAGCAGUUCAGACAGCAGUACUCUGACUUCCCACUGCACUUAGGGUAAAAGUAAAACUCUCUGCGGCCUUCUGAGCCCUUCAGAGCGUUGUCCUUGAGUCCUCUUAGCUGCCACCUAUCUUUGCCUACAACCUCCAUCCCUCUGCUUUAUCGCGUUGCUUCCUCAUCAGCACUGCUGCCCCCCAGGUGAACUCCUCCACCUCUCGGGGUCCCCGCAUUCUUCAGCCACCCUAUCCACAGCAGCACUCCUGGAACUCUCAGCACCUCUCAGCCCGAAAGUUUCUUGAUGACUUUCUUCACCUGAGGAAACCUUUUGCAUCAUUGUGAUGGUCUGUGUUUCCUGUUCUUCACAAGGAUACAAACAGGUGACAGUGACAUCUCGGUCUUAUCACAGUUUGUUCCUAGCAACCAGAAUGAGCGUGGCAUAAUCUAGAUCCUUAUUAACUGUGUGUUAACUGGCUCCAUUAAGGAACAAGGAGACACAAAACCCAGGAGUUGAACUGUGAGAUAGGUAUUGCCGUCAUUCUCAUUCUGAGGUGAAGCAAUCCAGACCCAGACGGUUCAGAUAACCACACUCCUGUAAAAGUGUUCCUGUAAUCAGACAUUCAGGAAAUGUAAAAGAUUGACUCUACUCUGUGUUGGUUGGUGUAUGGUUAACACCUCAUGUAUGAUUGAGGUAAUAUAUUGGUGAAACUGCUUUGAAACAUCAAUUGACAAACAUCUUUCUACACUCAAAGGAUGUGUUUCCUUGAUUCCAUUAGUUUUACGUUUUGGAACCAAUUUUCGAAAAAAGAGUCACAAGCGGGAAAACAUGCAUAGUGUAAUGCUCUAAUGCAUAGUCAUUCCAAUCUGUUUCUUAAUUCACUUAAAAUUAUAAACAGCCAAAAUAUCCACCCUUGAUGGAGCAUUUAUAUUUGUUUUGGGUGUUGACUCAUAGAAUAGGGUGCAGUGGUUUGAAAUUCUCAGCAUGUGUAUGUACAAGCAGAUAUACACACAUUAUAUGCACUGCAGAACAUAUUUUUCAGGUAAAGAAAAAUAAAAAGCACUAUAUAUAAUUAUUUUAUGCCUGAUAUAUUAAAAUAACUAUUCCCAUACUUAUGUAAAUAUAUAAAGACUAGAAAUGUGCAUAAUAUUCACUUUUAUACCCAUGGGUGUAAGAUAAAAGUGUACUCUCUUAUAAGAUUCUAUACUAUUUGCAUCUUCCAGUGGGAAUUUGUAUAUGAAAUACAUGUGGUUUUUAAAAGAUUUACAAGGUAAGUAAACUUAUGCUCAGGUUUCUAAAAAAUGUUAAAAAAAUAAAAGAAGAUUGAAUAUAUUUUUAAAGCAAAGUGAAACAGCAAAUAUACAAAUGAAGUUCCAUGGAUUAUCAAGCCCACUGCUAAAACUUGCAUGUCAGUGCUGUGAAUUAAGGCACAAUCUAGGGAUUUGGUUUUAAUGCUUUUUAUUAUCAGAAUUAUGUUGCUUCAUAAAAUAAUAUUAAUUGCCCUUGUUCAGUGGGUUUUGUGUUUGCUACGUCCUCUCUUGCUUUUGUUAGAAGUGAAAAUUUUACCUUUGUGGAACUUGAAAGUCUAGCUGUGAAAAAUGUGAGUUCUAAUAAUGUUCUUGGUAUCUGCAGACUCCGAGGGGAAGCAUAUCUUCCCUCAGAAGUAAAGAAUUAGGAAAAUAAUUUUCUUAAAAUGAUUUCCAUGGCCAAUCGCAUUGACCACGGUAAGAAGGAGAAUUCUUUUUUAUGAAUGUUGGAAAGGGAGCCAUGUGUGAGAGCUAGAGCGUGGGAUAAGAA